rnacentral:rRNA from 1 species
AGCAGCCGCGGUAAUUCCAGCUCCAAUAGCGUAUAUUAAAGUUGUUGCAGUUAAAAAGCUCGUAGUUGAAUUUCGGGAUUGACACAUCGGUCGUGCCUUAAGGGGUGUGAACUGGUGUAGUCAAUUUCUCACCUUCUGGAGAACCGCGAUGUCCUUAAUUGGGUGCCGCGAGGAACCAGGACCUUUACUUUGAAAAAAUUAGAGUGUUUAAAGCAGGCAUUUUUGCUUGAAUACAUUAGCAUGGAAUAAUAAAAUAGGACGGCAUGAUUCUAUUUUGUUGGUUUCUAGGAUCACCGUAAUGAUUAAUAGGGAUAGUUGGGGGCAUUAGUAUUCAAUUGUCAGAGGUGAAAUUCUUGGAUUUAUUGAAGACUAACUACUGCGAAAGCAUUUGCCAAGGAUGUUUUCAUUAAUCAAGAACGAAAGUUAGGGGAUCGAAGACGAUCAGAUACCGUCGUAGUCUUAACCAUAAACUAUGCCGACUAGGAAUCAGACGAUGUUAAUUUUUUAAUGACUCGUUUGGCACCUUACGG